GGGCCCGCACAAGCAGUGGAGUAUGUGGUUUAAUUCGAAGCAACGCGAAGAACCUUACCAGGGCUUGACAUCCUACUAACGAAGUAGAGAUACAUUAGGUGCCCUUCGGGGAAAGUUAAGACAGGUGGUGCAUGGUUGUCGUCAGCUCGUGUCGUGAGAUGUUGGGUUAAGUCCCGCAACGAGCGCAACCCCUAUUGUUAGUUGCUACGAGAGAGCACUCUAGCGAGACUGCCGUUGACAAAACGGAGGAAGGCGGGGACGACGUCAAAUCAUCAUGCCCCUUAUGUCCUGGGCUACACACGUAAUACAAUGGCGCAUUAACAGUGGGAAGCAAUGGCGCGAGCCGGAGCAAAUCCCCAAAAGGCGUCUCAGUUCGGAUUGCAGGCUGCAACUCGCCUGCAUGAAGUCGGAAUUGCUAGUAAUCGCGGAUCAGCAUGCCGCGGUGAAUACG
rnacentral:rRNA from 2 species